rnacentral:rRNA from 1 species
UACGAAGGGGGCUAGCGUUGUCCGGAAUCACUGGGCGUAAAGGGCGCGUAGGUGGCGGGCCAAGUCUGUGGUGAAAGCUCGAUGCUCAACAUCGAGUCGGCCACGGAUACUGGUUCGCUGGAGCACUGUAGAGGCAGAUGGAAUUCCGGGUGUAGCGGUGGAAUGCGUAGAGAUCCGGAAGAACACCGGUGGCGAAGGCGGUCUGCUGGGCAGUUGCUGACACUGAGGCGCGACAGCGUGGGGAGCAAACAGG